rnacentral:misc_RNA from 1 species
UAUUCUUCCUUUGGGUUUGAGGUGAGUGUUUAUUGCUCCUGACACCCUGAAAUUCUUUGCUUCUGCUUGUUUGUACUUGAUGGAUAAUUAAUAUUUUUUAAUCCAAUAUGAUGGCUUUUAAUUCAUUUAUUGACAUUGAAAUUCCUCUAAUAAUAUUCUUCCUUUAGCUGCUAAUAUUGAAUUCUGGGUUGAUGCUUAUCGUGGUGUUCUCUAUAUCCUCUAACUAAAGAUACUAUUUUUAUAGUUUUAAGUUGCUUGUUACUCUUACUCAUAUUGAUUAUUUGUGGAAUUCAUCUUGAGUUGUGGUGCUUAUUCUAUUUCACUCUGGAAGCUAGGUGCUAAAAAUAUUCAAUUAGA